GUUGUUGUUAUUGUUGCUAUUUCUUGGGCCGCUCCCGCGGCAUAUGGAGGUUCCCAGGCUAGGGGUUGAAUCGGAGCUGUAGCCACCGGCCUACGCCAGAGCCACAGCAACGCUGGAUCCGAGCCGUGUCUGCAACCUACACCACAGCUCACGGCAACGCCGGAUCGUUAACCCACUGAGCAAGGGCAGGGAUCGAACCCGCAACCUCAUGGUUCCUAGUCGGAUUCGUUAACCACUGCGCCACGACGGGAACUCCAAUUUUAUCUUUCUAAUACUAAUCCAUAUUCAAUUUCCUCAGUCAUCCCUAAAAUGUCCUAUACAUCUGGUUUAAACUAUUCACACAUUACAUCAUAAUAAUUUUCUCUUCUGGAGUUCCCAUCGUGGUGCAGCUGAAACUUAUCUGACUAGAAACCAUGAGGUUGUGGGUUCGAUACCUGGCUUUGCUCAGUGGAUUAAGGAUCUAGUGUUGCCAUGAGCUGUGGUGUAGGUCACCGACAAGGCCAGAUCCCGAGUUGCUGUUGCUGUGGCUGUGGCACAGGCCAGCAACUACAACUCUCAUUAGACCCCUACCUAGCCUGGGAACCUCCAUAUGCUGUGGGUACGGCCCUAAAAAGACCAAAAAAAAAAAAAAAAAAAAGUUUCCUCUUCUAAAAUAGUAACAGUUUGGAGUUCCUAUGCAGAUUAGUGGGUUAAGGACCUGGCAUUGCCAUUGCAGCAGCUCGGGUUGCUCCUAUGGCACAGGUUUGACCCCUGGCCCCGUUUCUGUGUAACAAGUGCAGCCAAAAAGUAAUUGAAAAAAUUAAAGGUCAGAUGUGCUAUGGGCUGUGCCACCUUUUAGAUUUUUCUGGAUACUCUUUUAUGGUGUUGAUUAGUUUUCCCCCGCUUUUCCAUAUUGCUUAUCAACUGGAAAUGAAAGUUUUAUGGAGCCACCUAUGAUGUAUAGUUUUAUGGCUAUACAUCAUAGGUGGUGUUGUUUACCUCAUUUCUGUAGCACAUCAGAAAACAUGUAACAUUUGGUUGUCCUACCAUUAGUGAUGCUAAGAUCAACCACUAGCUGAAGGUGAUCCCAUGAUGGGACAGUUACAGCUCUCCCUUCCAGCUAGGAAAUAAUCUGAAUGGUAUCACUUUGGCUCUAUAUGAACAGUUUCCCAUCACCUUGAUGCUUUCAACACCGUUGAUAAUUGUUGCCUGACUUUAACGGUGCUGUAAAUUGUUGAUUUGCUAUCAACCUUACUACAUUAUUGGGAGAUACUGUUUAGUAAAAUAGAGAUUUUUUUUCCCUCCUCAUCUGGGACCAUUUGGUUACCACACACACACACACACACACACACAUCAAAUUAAGGAGCUAGUUUAGUUUAAUAGCUGCUUGGGUCCAAUUUCAAGAGAGUGAGCGUUUUCUGGAAGAGUCUAGUGGUUGGAGGAGAACUAAACAAUGCCAAAAAGUUUGGCCACACUGGGCACAGGCAUGAUCGGCAACCAGAAAUAUUCCACUAAGAAUCUAAAAUCUGGCUCAGACGAACCUAUCUGCAAAACAGAAACACACUCGCAGACGUGGACAGCAGAAUUGUAGUUGCCAAGGAGGAAGGGGAUGGACUGGAAGUUUGGGGUUAGUAGAUGCAAACUGUUAUGUUAAGGCAAUGUGGUCCUGCAGUAUAGCACAGGGAACUAUGUCCAAUCACUUGUGAUGGAACAUGACUAAAGAUAAUACGAGAAAAAAAAAUGUAUAUAUCAUAUAUGACUGGGUCGCAUUGGUGUAUAGCAGAAAUCAACAGGACAGUAUAAAUCUACUAUAAUAAAAAAUUUUAAUUACAUAUAAAUAUUCCACUGAAAACAGUAACCAUGUUAAGUGUUGACCUCAGCUAAUUAUAAUUUUCACAUCUGACCCUCAAGCCACAGUCCUGUAUUGCAUUUCUAUGAGCUCAAGCAGUUCUUGAAAAGUUCAAACAGUGAUAACAAUCACUUCGUUAUGAUAGGAUACACUCUGUUGCCUCUCAAAAAAGAGCUUUCAGUAAGCAGAGGCAGAGCUCUUCUAGAUAAUGGACUCUCAACAACCAGGAGCACUGUAUCAAGCUAUGGGGUAAUGGUUCUUUGUAUUGAGUCUGACAUGUGAUGUAGGACUUUAGAAAGGGUUAGUUAUUUCUAAGGACACCAUGGCAUGUUCAACAGUAUCUCUCAUCCACGUGCUUUUCUUAUACCAGGGGUGUGGCCAAAAAAAUAGUAAUAAAAUAAGUAGCUUUAAAAGAAAAAUGUGUGCACUUUGGAACUCUCAUAGGUUGGAAUCCUGGUUCUACCACUUAAUGGCUGAGCAACCUUGGAUAAGUUACUUUACAUCUCCCCAUCUUUAUAAUAUAGACCUCAUUUGACUGUCAUAAGAAUCACCUAACACAUGUAUUUAACAGGAUGCCUAACAUACAUAAAUUCUCAGUAAAUGUUAGCUCUUGUUAUUAAAUGUUAAAUGAGCAACCUUUUCUUAUCUCAGUUUAAUUUCAUCUUAUUGUUUCCAAGCCAGGGCCGCAGCCUGUCAAGAUAAUUUUUAAUCUUGAUUCUGUGGUCUUCCUUUUAGAUUUCUGUUAUCUUCUCCUUGACAAGCAUGCCUACUCGUUCUUUCAGUCACAAAGUUAGGCAAGGUCUGUGGCUUUGGCACCAAUAGAGAUAGCCCUAAUCUGUGAAGAUAAUUUUGUGCAGGAGGUUGACUCUGAAAGGAGGGGUAAAGGAACCACAAAGGAUCCUGUCCUUAUGGAGUUCAAAGUCUAAUGACCUCUUUCACAAAUGAAAAAAAGAAAAAAAGGGUCACUGCAACACUACUCAAGGUCCCCUCUAUGACAAUUUAGUUUUAAAAGGAUAAAUGAGAUACAAAGAAAUGUUGACCUCUACAUUUUAUAGAUUAAUAGACAACUGAGGCUCAGGCCAUUUUUUAAGGACUUGCUUAUUAGGCUUAUAGAGCUAAUAAAGGACAGAGUGAGGCCAUGAACCUAUUAUUUCUCACUCCAAAUUCUACACUCCUUCCCCCUCAGCCCUCUUCUUUCUAAGGGUAUGGAAACCAAAAUGGAAAAGAGCUUCCUAUGAACUCAAGUGAUCACACAGCUGGCAUACAGUUCUGCUUGCCACAUCUCAGAACCUGAAAAGCCAUAGAAAAAGAAUGAUUAAAUGAUGAAAGAGGAGUUCCCGUCUUGGCGCAGUGGUUAACGAAUCCGACUAGGAACCACGAGGUUUCGGGUUUGGUCCUUGCCCUUGCUCAGUGGAUUCACGAUCUGGCGUUGCCGUGAGCUGUGGUGUAGGUUGCAGAUGCAGCUCAGAUCCCGCAUUGCUGUGGCUCUGGCGUAGGCUGGCAGCUACAGCUCCGAUUAGACCCCUAGCCUGGGAACCUCUAUAUGGUGCAGGAGUGGCCCAAGAAAUGGCAAAAAGAUGAAAAAAAAAAAAAAAAAGAUGAAAGAAAUUAGGGUCUUUGGUGAAAGAAGUGCAACUUCAUUAAAAUAAACUUAAAAAAAUAAGACAGAAUAUUAGAACUCUUCAGCCUAGAAAUAUUACAACUGAGGAAAAAAAAUUCUAUCAAAUGCAGACUGAUAGAACUAAGGUUGACAGGCACUGUCCACUAUAAUCUAGUUGGCACCUUUCAAAGUCUUGUAAAAGUACUUCUUCACAAAGCAGAGAUUAUCAACCUCUGUAUUUUCAUGAAGUAGCCAGAAAUAUUCAGGCAGGCAUUCUUCAUAUCAUUAAGUUUCUGGAAAAUAUUAUAAAUUCAUCACUAGAAAUUAAAUUGUUUUCCCAUUGUUUCCCAUUUCCCAGCAGUAUGAUGAAGGGUCCUGACCAAGAGAUAAUUGUGUUAAAUAAAUCAGAUAUGGCCAACAUGUGUUAAAAUCCAAUUCUAUGACUUCAAAACUUCCUAUUCACCAAAAAUAAGAGGGUCUAUAUGUACCACAUCCUGGUGGUAUAAGAGGUCUCCAUUUACUCUAAGAGCUAUAUAAAAAUAUACACAAUUUGAUUAUAUUCAAUAUUAAAGUUCCAUCAUAUAUACUUCUUUUAAACUAACAGUUAAAAUUAACUUUGCCCACCUUUAGAAUUUAGAAGGGCUUUUAUUGAUGUAUAGUGAGACAAGUUUAAAAAAAAAAAAAAAAAAAAAGCUGUCCGGGAGCUCCCUGGAGGCCUAGUGGUUAAAGAUUCCAUGUUGUCACUGCUGUGGCUCACAUUUGAUCCCUGGCCUGGGAACUUUUGCAUGCCACAGGCAUGGAUCAAAAAAAUAAAUAACUGUCCAGACUGGUUGAAAUAAUCUGAAUCACCAGCUUGCUGAAUCGUCUAUUACCUGAACUAUACUACUUUUUACCUAUAAAAUUUAUUGGUAUUGCUGAAAAAUUCUCAAAGGGGCAGCUGAACAUAGAUGUGAAAUGACAGUGAUUGAGUUGUGGCAGCCUGUAUGUCCUUCCCAAGUGUCAGUCCCACUUGAGUAUAGAGGCCCUCUCAAAUGGAACUGCCCCACUUCUCCUAAAGAUCUAUAUUGCCAUCAAAAGUACUUAUAUAGGAGUUCCUGCUGUGGCACAGUGGAAAUGAAUCCGACUAGUAUCCAUGAGGAUGCAGGUUUGAUCCCUGGCCUCAGGUGGGUUGGAGAUCUGGUGUUGCCGUGAGCUGUGGUGUAGGUAACAGACUUGGCUCAGAGCCCACGUUGCUAUGGCUGUGGUGUAGGCUGGCAGCUGUAGCUCCGAUUUGACCCCUAGCCUGGGAACUUCCAUAUGCUGCAGGUGCGACCCUAAAAAGAAAAAAAAA
rnacentral:lncRNA from 1 species